rnacentral:rRNA from 1 species
GGGUGAGUAAUGUAUCGGAACGUGCCCAGUAGCGGGGGAUAACCACUCGAAAGAGUGGCUAAUACCGCAUACGCCCUACGGGGGAAAGGGGGGGAUCGCAAGACCUCUCACUAUUGGAGCGGCCGAUAUCGGAUUAGCUAGUUGGUGAGGUAAAGGCUCACCAAGGCUGCGAUCCGUAGCUGGUUUGAGAGGACGACCAGCCACACUGGGACUGAGACACAGCCCAGACUCCUACGGGAGGCAGCAGUGGGGAAUUUUGGACAAUGGGGGCAACCCUGAUCCAGCCAUCCCGCGUGUGCGAUGAAAGCCUUCGGGUUGUAAAGCACUUUUGGCAGGGAAGAAAAGGCGCUGGCUAAUACCUGGCGCUGCUGACGGUACCUGCAGAAUAAGCACCGGCUAACUACGUGCCAGCAGCCGCGGUAAUACGUAGGGUGCAAGCGUUAAUCGGAAUUACUGGGCGUAAAGCGUGCGCAGGCGGUUCGGCGAGAAGGAUGUGAAAUCCCGGGGCUUAACCUCGGAACUGCAUUCUUAACUGCCGGGCUAGAGUAUAUCAGAGGGGGGUAGAAUUCCACGUGUAGCAGUGAAAUGCGUAGAGAUGUGGAGGAAUACCGAUGGCGAAGGCAGCCCCCUGGGAUAAUACUGACGCUCAUGCACGAAAGCGUGGGGAGCAAACAGGAUUAGGUACCCUGGUAGUCCACGCCCUAAACGAUGUCAACUAGCUGUUGGGGCCUUCGGGCCUUAGUAGCGCAGCUAACGCGUGAAGUUGACCGCCUGGGGAGUACGGUCGCAAGAUUAAAACUCAAAGGAA